UGGGGAAUAUUGGACAAUGGGCGCAAGCCUGAUCCAGCCAUGCCGCGUGUGUGAAGAAGGCCUUAUGGUUGUAAAGCACUUUAAGCGAGGAGGAGGGUACUGGUAUUAAUACUACCAGGUACUGGACGUUACUCGCAGAAUAAGCACCGGCUAACUCUGUGCCAGCAGCCGCGGUAAUACAGAGGGUGCGAGCGUUAAUCGGAUUUACUGGGCGUAAAGCGUGCGUAGGCGGCUGAUUAAGUCGGAUGUGAAAUCCCUGAGCUUAACUUAGGAAUUGCAUUCGAUACUGGUCAGCUAGAGUAUGGGAGAGGAUGGUAGAAUUCCAGGUGUAGCGGUGAAAUGCGUAGAUAUAGGAAGGAACACCAGUGGCGAAGGCGACCACCUGGGCUCAUACUGACACUGAGGUGCGAAAGCGUGGGGAGCAAACAGG
rnacentral:rRNA from 1 species